CAGAACGACGUGCUGGAGGACUGGUGUGAAGAAUCUGAAAAAUGGACUAUCCAGUUAUUUGAGUCUGCAUGGGAAGGACACCGUCGGCUCCGGAUUUGAUUACUUUUGUUUUUAAAUGGCUCCAGAAUCAGAAAGGAUUGUGACAGUGGCAUGCAAGGAGGACUCCAGUUCAACUGAGCGCAGCAUUUCCACGUGAUGUUCACCACUGGCCACACUUCAUCAGGAGAAACUCCCACAUUAGAGAUGUGUCCUUUGUGUGGAAGCUGAACAAAUAAGAGGGCUCUGUGUCCAACAGUGCGCUGCUUUGCAGGUCAGAAGGCCUGAGCUUUGUCUGAAACUUCCUUGGAGAUGCAGAAACAGUAAGAGCCAUUUGCCCAUAAAGUUCUGUAAUAUGACUCCCAUCUUCUCUCUGUGCUCCCUUCUCAUCUGUUUAUGUGAGCAUGUACAUAACUGUACAGAUAUACCUACUCCGAUGAAAGUCUGCAUCAGCUUUGGUCCUAUUGAGUUUUCUGAAGUGAUUUUUUCAAUGUGAUGUAUUUUAGCAUUAAAGUGAAUGAAUGAAUGAAGCAGUAUACUUCAGCAGCGUUGGUAAGAGGAAAGGGAGUGAAAGGGGUGUUUGAGCAAGGUAAAGUGCACAUGAAACUGGAUAAAGUCACCUGCUGCUCCCCAUCAUGCAACCUAAGAAAUGUAUAGGAAUUUACAAUGUACAAAUGUUCUGCUUUGUAACUACUGAAUUUCAUGGUUGCAUAUUUGCCACUUGUGAAUUUGUAACUGGAUAUUAGCAAUUUUCAAAUAGCUUGGGAUGUUACACAUACAGUACUUAUAAAAUAUAUGGUAAAUAUAUGAGACAACCCAUUUAUUCACUGUAGAGGGCACAAAAGGAAACAGAAAUACUGAGAACUCUUACGCAGUAAGCCAUCAGACUGGCACGAUCUCAUCAAAUAUGCAAGAGUGAGCUGAUGCGAUCCCUGAAACAUUUCUAUACAUGUAUGAUAGAAACAGUUAUGUUGUCUAGAUAAGAGACCAAAGCAAAAUAGUAUAAACAAGAUGGUGUAAACGUAAAUAAGACAUUAGAAGUUGCUGGUAGGACAAAGUUAGAAUCUUACUUGAUCCUUAUGUGUUACUAGAUGCUGAAUGGGAUGAGAUCUAGUCUGUGAGUUGUACCGUGCUUAGACAACAAUAUGUCAGAGUUAAAACUGCAGAAUGCAGUAACCUCUGGUUUUAUUAAUCUCUUCUGAAACACAUCAAGUGUCACUUUUAUUUAUUACCAUAUAAACAGGAAACAUUCUUCUAAAAAUAUGAAACGUUAUCCUCGUUCAAAGUAAUAGGUAACCAGAAUGUAGGGCAUCACUGUUUCUGCGUUGUACAGUGACUUGCAGUGGUUGCGGUACACUUUCUUUGCUGUUACUGUGAAAAUGUUGGAAAGUGUCUUUCUCUUUCGUGCUUCCACAGUCAUUAAUACAUUAAAGUUCAUGUCUUUGGCUGGGCAUCUUUGAUCAUAUUGUCCUAUCCUAACCUAACCUAGCCUAGCCUAGCCUAGCCUAGCCUAAUCUUCCUGUUUUAAUAUUUGUAUCUUAUAUCCUUGAUCAUAUCAUAUAAUUGGGCAGAUAUAAAGAAGGUAAAACCAAGAAAUAACAUUGAAUAUAUAUGAAAUAUAUAUGAAAGAAAUAUUUUUGCUGAAACAUAUAUAUAUAUAUAUUUUUUUUGCUAAGAAGUGUUUUGAGGUUGAAAAAAAUAAUCAGAAGGACAAGUAAUUUCAAAAUAUUAAUAGAAAAAUCUCAUUAAAAUUAAAAGUAAUUCCUACUGAGUAAUAUAUUUGUGAUGUAUGUCAAAUGGCCAUAAUUAUCUACCUGAGAUGUUUGUGAAUAAAUACCAAACCAAUGGUUGAC
rnacentral:lncRNA from 7 species